rnacentral:rRNA from 1 species
CGGAGGGUGCAAGCGUUAUCCGGAUUCACUGGGUUUAAAGGGUGCGUAGGUGGGUUGGUAAGUCAGUGGUGAAAUCUCCAGGCUUAACUUGGAAACUGCCAUUGAUACUAUCAGUCUUGAAUACCGUGGAGAUGAGCGGAAUAUGUCAUGUAGCGGUGAAAUGCUUAGAUAUGACAUAGAACACCAAUUGCGAAGGCAGCUCGUUACACGAAUAUUGACACUGAUGCACGAAAGCGUGGGGAUCAAACAGGAUUAGAUACCCUGGUAGUCCACGCCCUAAACGAUGGAUACUCGACAUUUGCGAUAAACUGCAAGUGUCUGAGCGAAAGCAUUAAGUAUCCCACCUGGGAAGUACGACCGCAAGGUUG